rnacentral:rRNA from 1 species
ACGGCUCAGUAACACGUGGAUAACCUGCCCUUGGGUCCGGCAUAACCCCGGGAAACUGGGGAUAAUUCCGGAUAACGCAUAUAUGCUGGAAUGCUUUAUGCGUAAAAUGGAUUCGUCUGCCCAAGGAUGGGUCUGCGGCCUAUCAGGUAGUAGUGGGUGUAAUGUACCUACUAGCCUACGACGGGUACGGGUUGUGAGAGCAAGAGCCCGGAGAUGGAUUCUGAGACAUGAAUCCAGGCCCUACGGGGCGCAGCAGGCGCGAAAACUUUACAAUGCGGGAAACCGUGAUAAGGGGACACCGAGUGCCAGCAUCCUAUGCUGGCUGUCCAGGUGUGUAAACUACACCUGUUAGCAAGGGCCGGGCAAGACCGGUGCCAGCCGCCGCGGUAACACCGGCGGCCCGAGUGGUGAUCGUGAUUAUUGGGUCUAAAGGGUCCGUAGCCGGUUUGGUCAGUCCUCCGGGAAAUCUGACAGCUCAACUGUUAGGCUUUCGGAGGAUACUGCCAGACUUGGAACCGGGAGAGGUAAGAGGUACUACAGGGGUAGGAGUGAAAUCUUGUAAUCCCUGUGGGACCACCUGUGGCGAAGGCGUCUUACCAGAACGGGUUCGACGGUGAGGGACGAAAGCUGGGGGCACGAACCGGAUUAGAUACCCGGGUAGUCCCAGCCGUAAACGAUGCUCGCUAGGUGUCAGGCAUGGCGCGACCGUGUCUGGUGCCGCAGGGAAGCCGUGAAGCGAGCCACCUGGGAAGUACGGCCGCAAGGCUGAAACUUAAAGGAAUUGGCGGGGGAGCAC